AGAUGAGGAAACUAAGGCGGGAGAGGAAGCAUUUGCCCAAAUCACAGUAAGUGGUGGGGCCAACCAGUCAUUGAGCUCCUGGUGUUCCUUGGCAGUCCUUGGUUUGUGGCCACAUCACGCCAACCUCUGCUCUGUCUUCAACUGGUCUUCUUCACCGUAUCUCCUCUCCUCUUCUUCUAAGGACACCAAUCACUGGACUUAGGGCCCAAUCUACACUGGGCUAUUGAAUACCCAAGUGGCCAAUGCAAUUGGAGAGUAGAUAAAUCAUUCAUUCCAAAAGGCAAGGAAAAAACUGAAACCCAAAGCAAUGGAGAGGAUGGAACCAGAGACAUGGCGGGUUCAAGUACUGCCUUUGUCACCUACUGACUUCUGACUCUAUGACCUCUUGAGCCUCAAUUUCAUCAAAAAAAGGGGGGGAUAAUAAUCACACCUCUCUCUCUGGUUCAUUUUGAGAUUAAGUGCCUGGCAAAGAGUGAGCACCCAAAUAAAUGU